UGGCUCAGCCUCCAGGGAACAACUGGGCUGCUAUUCAUAGAAAAGCCUGCUAUUAGCAUCUGCCUGGCAUUUGAAUUAGGCUCACCUAACUGCCUUCCCCACAGAUAUUGCUGAGCUCAGUUGCUGAACACUGAGGGGCUGAGGUUGCAUGUGACCGUUCAUGAUCAGCCCUCCACCCACAGUCCUGCUACCUGGAGAGUCACGGAGGUCCUAGUGUGGUCCUGAGCUGAGGGCAGGAGACGCAAGCAGGAAAGUGAAAUUUGAACUGAGGAGAAGGACCAGCAGAGCCGAAGAAAGAACAAAGGGAGAAGCAGCAGCAGUGGGGGCGGCGGGGGUGGGGGCACCAUGUCUUGUCCUUAGGCUGGCAUCACCAGGCUGAGCCCCAAGCUGAGAAAAGGGAACGAGGUCUUUUGCUGUUGAAGAGAAGAUUCUGGAACAGUUCUUCGCCUAAUCUUCCACAUACGAGGGUGUGAAAGAUGUGGACCCCAUGGGAAUUGAGUUUUCCCCUCUCCCAAGGGGGCAGAAAACGCACAAAAUAGAAGUUUGGCUUUAAGGGUUAGGGUGCAGAGUCCCGAGCUCUCCAAAAUCAAAGACAAAGCUGCUCCCAGCUGGUGACUCUUAGGCCAUGCCACCCUUGUCAGUAACGUUUGGGAAGGUGGCAAUGGCAUCCUCUGCUGAGCCCUGUGGGGCCCAGUCCUUAGGCUGUAGAGGAGGAGGUCCCCUCAGCCAUUCCAGGAUAUUCAUGUGCCCAUACAAGGCACUCGGCAUGCUGUGUGUGAAGGUACAAUAGAGCCACAAGACAGGGGCAUACUGAGAGACUGGUGACAAACUGCCAUUAGGAAAGACACUAGUGAUGGAAACAAAUCUUUGAAACCAAACCAAGCCUUUCCUGCUAAAUAUUACUCUCCGGCUAUGAUACACGUUCUGUGCAACCAACAAAUGGGUCUGUGUGACUCCCACCAUCUACGGAAAUUCAAGGGUCCUAGAUUUCAUCUUCUCCUUACUCUAAGCCUCUAGUCCUGGGCCAGGAUGAUGGAGGUUACCUGAACUCCAUGAGCUCACUUGUUGACAUUGCUUCUCUAAUCAGAAUGUAAAAUUCAAGUCCCACACGCCCUUAAAUGACCUGUCAUGAUUGCACAAGGAUUGUUAACACUCCCUAGGUUGUAUGAGAGGCAGAGGAAAGGAUUAGCCAA